GAUGAAGAACGUAGCGAAAUGCGAUAAGUAGUGUGAAUUGCAGAAUUCAGUGAAUCAUCGAAUCUUUGAACGCACAUUGCGCCCUUUGGUAUUCCUUAGGGCAUGCCUGUUCGAGCGUCAUUUAAACCUUCAAGCUAAGCUUGGUGUUGGGUGACUGUCCGCUUCACGGCGGACUCGCCUCAAAAUUAUUGGCGGCCGGUACAUUGGCUUCGAGCGCAGCAGGAACGCGAACUCGGGCCCGUCGUAUUGGCUCCCAGAAGCUAUCUUCACAAUUUUGACCUCGGAUCAGGUAGGGAUACCCGCUGAACUUAAGCAUAUCAAUAAGCGGAGGA
rnacentral:misc_RNA from 1 species